CGAGAGGUGAAGAUUGGGUUACUCUUGCCUUAACCAUGCUUGAGGGUCUUGUUCGCCCAACUUAUACGUUACGACUAACAGAACAGCCUUGAGAACAUCUGAUCUC
rnacentral:snoRNA from 1 species